rnacentral:lncRNA from 1 species
AAAGAUGGAAAAAAAAAACAAAGAAAAAAAUACAGCAUUGAUUUUACCAUUCGGCGGGACCAAAGAAUUCACCUGCUGACUCAUUGACGAGUUUCCUAACAGCGGCACCUGUAGCAUCCAGCGUAUUAAAGGCACCAUCAUUACCCCACCAAUCUGGGAAAUUAACCAUAGGCAACUGUAAGCAAAAGAAAAGUAUAAUGACCGACAACUGCGUACCAGUAUCAAGAGCAGCAGAAAGCGUGAAAUUGUAUUUCUGCCACCAGUCUGCGAAUAUCUUCUUCAGAUAAUAAUUGAAGAACAGACCAAUUCCAGACCAAGCCAGAUAGUUUACAGGAGUAGCUGGGGGAAUAUAACCAGUACCUCCAAAAAUUAGCGGGCCAUUCAAUUGACCCCACCAUUUUUGAGGCCAUUUCUUCCAUAGAGCCCAGAACAAAAUUGUACCCAGCACGCCAGCGAGCCAGAAGUACUGCAAUCCCGUAUAGGUGUUUUUUCCAGAAAACAUUCUCUUGGGACCAAUUACACCCCAAAUAACGGAAGAAUUAAAAAAGACAGUUGCAUUAGGACAAGUGUAAUUAUCAGGUUGAUCGGCCUGGCAAACAUUAUCAAUAUUACCCAAAGCCCAAUCCAAUACGCCGAUCUGAACAAAGCAAGACCAUAUGGUGGCAAUCAUUUGGGUGUAAAACAUGAUUCUGGGAGGAAGCUUCAUGUAAUGACCAAACUUCAGAUCGGCAGCGAAAGCCAAUCCCUGAGUCAUUGUAAUAUAACCGACAGUCUUGAAAAUCAUCAUGGCCAAAGGACGACCAGGAUACAUAUAACCAACGAUAAACUCGGUGAAUACAUUCAAGCCUAGCUGGAUGUUGGUUAUAGCUUGAACGAUGCCAAUUGGAAUGAACCAUACAGCAGAGAAAAUGACACCGACAAUGAUAACCCACCAAGGGGUUUCCGUUUUCCAACCAUAAAUAGUACCCAUCAUCAUGCCGAAAAAGGCCAAGAAAACACUCAAAUACCAAUAGAAGGGAACUUCAUCAUAGGCUUUCAUGAGUUUUUCAUGGAUAUCAGGUGCGGGUGGAUCGCGUAACCUGUCGUAGAUCUCUUUUCCAUGGUAUAGGAUCACGUGGAAAAUGACAGAAGUGAUGGAAGCGAAGGAAAGGCCAAAUGCCAAAGCGUAGGUGGUGGACAUGAAAAUGGGAGAAUAGUUUUGAUAGGCAUCCAAAUCAAACGUAGCAUCCUUGGUGAGGAUGCGAGUAACGUUAUAGCUAUUACCAAAGUGAUCGAUAAUACCAGAACUACUGAUCGGUAGGUAAUCACCAUACCACGUGUUGGUAAAGUUAAGGGCUGGAGUGACGAUCCAAAAGAAUAGAAUGACGCCCAAAAGAAUGUUCAUCAAAGCAUCGGCAGGAGCCAUGAGGGGGGAAAGAAUGUAUGCGGAAAUUUGAUUCCAAUCAAAAGUCAUGGGAAGGAUGGAGAUUCCGGUGGAUUCACCAAAGAUUUGAUUUACAGUUGGACUAUUAGGACGAAUCCAAGUGACCCAAGCAAAUAGGGAAAGGGCUUGGAAAAUGUAGGAAGGGAACCAAUUCCAAAUGAAUGAAGCAAUAAAAACGUACAAAAAGAAACGGAAGGGGGAAAUUCUCCAGCCAUUGGCAACGGCGUUUCGUAAGUCUUUGCGAUGUAAAGUCUUGAUCAAGGUGCAUUGAACGAGAUUCACAGGCCACAACAUACUAGCAGGACGGACCAAAAGUCUUCUGGAUAAACCAGCCAAUCCGUAUCCGAUAAGUUGAGUGGCCAAAGUCAAACAGAUUUCGUAGCCAAAGCCGAAGCGCUGUUUGUAGUGUACACGUUGGGCGAGGAUGAUAUCGGUGGAGUAGGCAUUACCAAACGAUACACUCGACAUAACGACGAUGAGAGCAUGUUCUUUAACGUUAAAGGGACCAGGCUUAAAAUUAAACUUUAAACGUCCAAUGCGAAAUUCGCGAUCGGGGAAAAUCAAGUCCCAAAUCUGUAAUGCUGGGUAUGCGAGAAGCUCGGAAAUCAAAACACUCAAAGUGACGGUUGGGUUUCGAAGGGAAAAGAACAUGUUGACGGCGGCACCAACGGUGGAAUAGAUGAGACCAAUGGUCCACAUGCGAAUGGUGUUGCAUGGCAUACUUGGAUCAUCGGUAGGAGGGACGGCGGCACGAACCUCUGGAUAAGGAGAGUCUUCCUCAAACUCGUCAACCGUACUAAUUUCACCAUGUUCGACAUCGAGAAAGGACUUUGUGUCUUUCUUGAUGUCUUUGGAUAAACUGUCAUCGGAAUGGCUAACGAUGUAAUCAGAGAUGUCGACGGAGUCGGCCUUUUCCUUUGUAGAGGGGGAGUCAUUCAUAUGCUCCUCGAUGGGAGACUCAUUGAUGGAACCGAUCAUUAUGGGAAGAAGGGAGGAGAAUCAAGAGAGAGAGAGAGAGAGAGAGAGAAAAAAAAAAAGUCAAACUUGAUUCACCAAAAAAAUAAAAAGAAACAAACCAAAAAUGGUUGAGAGAGAGAAAUACUAGAAAAAGUUUUUGCUUAGUUUUCGAAAGAGAGGAAACAAGAUUUUCCAAAUAGAAUUGACGAGAGACGAAACGAAAAUGAUGUAUUUAUGAAACGAAACGAAACGAACAGUGCGAUACGAUAAAGAAAUCACAAAAAAAUCACUACGAAACUUCACGGUGAUUGAAGAAACGAGCAAUGGAUGGGAUUUGGAAAAAGAGCAAAGUGUUUAAUACUUCUUCAUCAAUAAAAUUCGUGAAGGAAGAAAAACACCUUUAUGUUUUUAUGGAAUCAACGUCCACGUAUGUAGAGAUAAAAAUGUAUACAAGAUGGUUUUUAUAGAC